AUGGGCUCCUCCGCCGUCCAGCGCGACUCCGUCUCCGCGCCAGGAAACAUGGAGUGUGCUGAUGACCCCGGCAGCAGCAGCAGUAGCAGAAGCAGGUGGGGCAAAAUGAUGAGCAACGACACUUGGAGGUGGUGUUUAGGGUUGAUUUACAUCGUCGCUAUCGCGGGCAUAUGGAUCGCUGCAAGCUACAUCGUUCAGUCUGUCGUGGAUGGCGGUGUUUCCCCCUUCUUGAUCACGUACAUAUGCAAUUCUCUGUUUAUUGUCUACAUCCCCAUAGUUGAGUUCGCUCGGUACUUCGAGGAUUCUAUCGACAACCUGUGGUCAAAGUUGAAAGGCAAGGAUGGCGCAGACCUGCAGCAGCUUGCGGAUCUGGAGAGUGUGAAUCUUCUACAGAGAAGCGGGCAGGAGGGCAAUGGAGCCUCACCCCUGUCCGAAGACAAUUUGACUUCAAAUGCAAACUUCCCUAUCCAUACAGAGCUAGGUGUUGCAGAUUGCAGCAAGGGGUUGGAUGCAAAAGGGCGCUGGACGCGUGCUCGUACAGCCAGAGUCAGCAUGCUAGUCUGCCCUUUCUGGUUUCUCGCACAGCUUACAUUCAAUCUAUCUCUAAGAUACACCACUGUUACAUCAAACACGAUCCUGAGCAGCACGUCUACCCUCUUCACUUUCCUGGUUGCAUUGGUAUUUCUUGGAGAAACAUUCACAUGGUUGAAGCUGAUCAGCGUGCUUCUCUGCAUAGCAGGAACAAUUAUAGUUAGCCUUGCUGAUUCAGGCAGUACACUUAAUGCUGUUGCCACAAAUCCUCUUCUUGGAGACUUCCUUUCUAUUGUUUCAGCUGGCUUAUAUGCCGUGUAUAUCACCUUGAUACGGAAAAAGUUGCCUGAUGAGAAAGAAGGUCAAGGCCAAGUGAGUAUGGCUCAGUUUCUUGGAUUCCUGGGACUGUUCAAUAUGUUGUUUUUCCUUCCCGUUGCGUUGGUACUAAAUUUUGCCAAGCUGGAGCCAUUCCACACACUGACAUGGGAGCAAGUUGGCCUGAUUGUUGGGAAAGGUUUGUUAGAUAAUGUUCUAAGUGACUACUUGUGGGCAAAAGCAAUCCUUCUCACAACAACCACCGUUGCUACAGCCGGUCUCACGAUCCAAGUUCCUAUUGCUGCCCUUGUAGACACGCUCACUGGUCAUGCUCCCCAACUGCUGAACUACAUUGGAGCUGCUGCUGUAUUAGUCGGUUUUGCUGGCAUCAACAUCCCGUCCGAUGUGCUACAGCCUUCUCACCACCAGCAGGACCAGCAGGAAGCACCCAUUGUUAGCAUUGUUGAUGACUCGCAUCAUUCGCCCAGUGAUAGGAAUUCUACCGAUGCUGUUUCAUAG
rnacentral:rRNA from 1 species